ACGCCUUAUACAUGCAAGUCGAACGCAGUAGCAAUACUGAGUGGCAGACGGGUGAGUAUUAAUGUGGGAAUCUGCCUUUUGGUUCGGAAUAACUCGGGGAAACUUGAGCUAAUACCGGAUAAGCCCUUACGGGGAAAGCUUUAUGCGCCAUUAGAUGAGCCCGCACUUGAUUAGCUAGUUGGUGAGGUAAAGGCUCACCAAGGCAACAAUCAAUAGCUGUUCUUAGAGGAAGACCAGCCACAUUGGGACUGAGACACGGCCCAGACUCCUACGGGAGGCAGCAGUAAGGAAUCUUGCACAAUGGGGGAAACCCUGAUGCAGCGAUGCCGCGUGAGUGAAGAAGGCCUUUGGGUUGUAAAACUCUUUCGUCGGGGAAGAAAAUGACUGUACCCGAAUAAGAAGGUCCGGCUAACUUCGUGCCAGCAGCCGCGGUAAUACGAAGGGACCUAGCGUAGUUCGGAAUUACUGGGCUUAAAGAGCUCGUAGGUGGUUAAAAAAGUUGAUGGUGAAAUCCCAAGGCUCAACCUUGGAACUGCCAUCAAAACUUUUUAGCUAGAGUGUGAUAGAGGAAAGUGGAAUUUCUAGUGUAGAGGUGAAAUUCGUAGAUAUUAGAAAGAACACCAAAAGCGAAGGCAACUUUCUGGAUCACUACUGACACUGAGGAGCGAAAGCAUGGGUAGCGAAGAGGAUUAGAUACCCUCGUAGUCCAUGCUGUAAACGAUGUGUGCUAGACGUUGGAAAUUUAUUUUCAGUGUCGCAGCGAAAGCGUUAAGCACACCGCCUGGGGAGUACGACCGCA
rnacentral:rRNA from 1 species